GUUAAACAUUUUGUUU
rnacentral:sRNA from 1 species